CGGAGGGAUCAUUACCGAGUUUACAACUCCCAAACCCCUGUGAACAUACCUAUACGUUGCCUCGGCGGAUCAGCCCGCGCCCCGUAAAAAGGGACGGCCCGCCCGAGGACCCCUAAACUCUGUUUUUAGUGGAACUUCUGAGUAAAACAAACAAAUAAAUCAAAACUUUCAACAACGGAUCUCUUGGUUCUGGCAUCGAUGAAGAACGCAGCAAAAUGCGAUAAGUAAUGUGAAUUGCAGAAUUCAGUGAAUCAUCGAAUCUUUGAACGCACAUUGCGCCCGCCAGUAUUCUGGCGGGCAUGCCUGUUCGAGCGUCAUUUCAACCCUCAAGCUCAGCUUGGUGUUGGGACUCGCGGUAACCCGCGUUCCCCAAAUCGAUUGGCGGUCACGUCGAGCUUCCAUAGCGUAGUAAUCAUACACCUCGUUACUGGUAAUCGUCGCGGCCACGCCGUAAAACCCCAACUUCUGAAUGUUGACCUCGGAUCAGGUAGGAAUACCCGCUGAACUUAAG
rnacentral:rRNA from 1 species